rnacentral:rRNA from 1 species
AUUGAACGCUGGCGGCAGGCUUAACACAUGCAAGUCGAGCGGUAACAGGGGUGCUUGCACCCGCUGACGAGCGGCGAACGGGUGAGUAACGCGUAGGAAUCUACCUAAUAGAGGGGGAUAGCCCGGGGAAACUCGGAUUAAUACCGCAUACGCCCUACGGGGAAAGCAGGGAUCUUCGGACCUUGCGCUAUUAGAUGAGCCUGCGUCGGAUUAGCUAGUUGGUGAGGUAAAGGCUCACCAAGGCGACGAUCCGUAGCUGGUCUGAGAGGAUGAUCAGCCACACUGGAACUGAGACACGGUCCAGACUCCUACGGGAGGCAGCAGUGGGGAAUAUUGGACAAUGGGGGCAACCCUGAUCCAGCCAUGCCGCGUGUGUGAAGAAGG